GAGUGCAGUGAUACAUAUCUGGAAUCCCAGCAGCUCAGGAGGCUGAGACAGGAGGAUCCGGAGUUCAAAGCCAGCCUCAACAAUGGCGAGGAGCUAAACAACUCAGCAAGAUCCUGUCUCUAAAUAAAAUACAAAAAUAGGCUCAGUGGUUGAAUGCCCCUGGAUUCAAUCUCCAAUACUAAAAUCAAGCUGGGUGAGGGUUCACACCUGUAAUCCCAGCUGUUCAGAAGAUUGGGGCAGGAGGAUCUCAAAUUAGAGGCCAAUCUUGCAACUGAGCCAGAACUUGUUUCAAAAAUAAAGUAAAAUAAAGAGGGUUGGGGCCUGGGGAUAUAGCUCUGUUGGAAGAGUGCUUGCCUUGCAUGCAUAAGGCCCUGGGUUCAAUCCCUGCACCACACAUAUACAAAAUAGGGUCCAGAAUAUAGCUAAGAGGUAGAAUACACUUCUGCAUCCAAUCUUCAGUACUGCCAAAAAGAGAGAGAGAGAGAACAAUUAAAAUUUGUAAUAAUUGUGGGAAUUGUAGAUAGCUAGGAAAUCCAGAAUUCCCAUCUUCAGAAUGGUCAGGGAAUCUCAAAGCAUGAUGCUACAGUAGCUCUAAUCCCAGCAACCCAGAAGGCUGAAGCAGGAGCAUGGCAACUUGGUGAGGCCCUAAGCAACUUAAUGAGAACUUGUCUCAAAAUAAAAAGUUCUGGGGAAGUGGCUCAGUGGUUAAGUACUCCUGGAUUCAAUCUCUGGUAUAAAAAAAAAAGGUCAAGGAAUCUAUGUAGUCCAAGUUAGAACUGGCUCUUGUCCUUGAUAUGAUGUGACAUUUGUUUCAAGUUUAUAAAUCUCAGUUUUUAGUUUCCUCAGCAAGGUUGGAGAAAGUGUUUUUUAUAUUAUGAUAAAGAACAAAUUCAUUCCCCAUUCCUUUGUUUUUUUAAGGAACAUAAAAAUAAUCUAAAUUUAUUUUUGGAAUUCUACACAUUAGUACUGAAAAUUUAAGUAAGAAUCAAUAUUUAUUAAAGGUACUGUACACAAAGAUUUUAUAGUUCCUGAAUAUUUCUGGAUAGGCAAAAAAUAAAAAGGAGUAGCUCAUAAUGUAUAAAGGCUACAGGAAGCCUAG
rnacentral:lncRNA from 1 species